AGAGAAAAUGAUGUUCACUGGAACUCUCCAGAGAAAGUGAAAGGUGUCUCUGAAGGAAAGGAUUUUUAUGAGUUUAGAGUGGUACUAUGCUCUCCCUUUUCCUUUGCCCCAAGGAAUUAGGGUAUAUUCUAAAUCGAUUUCAUCUGGGUGAUACAAGAGAUUCUGUUGGUUGUUCAGAGAUGUUGAGAGAUCAACCAGGAGACUGUGGGAGGAUGUGAGCUCUCUGAGAAGGAGAAGAAGUAUUUACAUUAGAAGUCUGAUUCACAGGUCGGGGCAAAGUGAAAAACAUCUGCACUUUUAAAAGAGAGGUCAAAAGUCCGUCUGACUCACCUGUGCUGAGUGACUUGAAUGCCAUCUAAUCUAACUUCAAGAUCAUCAGGAUACUUGCCAACAAGGUCACAGUGGACUCCAUGGAGCAACUGCCCUCAGGAGGCAACAGCUGAGGCGCAUAUUGGACAAAAAUCACUUAUCCAAGACCACGUUACUACAACCCCAGGGCACAGAAGCUAAGUCUUCCUAUUGUACUGAACUCAGUUGACUGGAAUUUGUUCAGGAAAGCAUGAAGUCAAAUGGAAGCUAGUCCGUGACUGGAUUCAUCUUUUGGUAAAAAACGAAGAGGAGACCCCAUAUCCUGGAGGUUCUUGCUUAACCCUGUCCCUAAUAAGACCUAACUUUAUGAGUCUUCUCCUUAGAGGCAGUCCUAGGGUAAGAGUGAUUAUUCCUGUGAGCCUUGUAGGUACUUUCGAAUCAAGGAAAUUAGUAGUUGAUUGCUAAUUAAUUCAGUAUUUAAUGAAUUUAAGUACCUAGGCAAUGAGGCCACAAUAGCAAAUAAGACACAGACCUGUUUUCAAAAAGUAGCCUGUAAAUAAGAUAUUUUUUUCUGCCAUGGUGGCAAAGGCAUGACUAUGGUGAUGAACAUUCAUAGGCUCACCUUCUAGCUCUGUUGUAUGUUAACUGUGUGAACUUGGGUCAAGUUAUGAAAACUCUAAGAACUCUCAAAACUCCUGAUCUGUUUUAACAUGAAAGUAAAGAUAUCUAAUUGAAUUGUUGUGAAACUUAAAUGUAAUGUGACAUCCAAAGAAUGUAGCCCAAAGUUGGAUUUCAGUAAGUGAUAAAUAGAAGUAUUUAAACAUGGGUAUGGUAUGUUCUGUAACAGAAGAAUGUCUAUGUGCUGGGGAUACCUAGAGACAGUGAAAAUUCUGUCUGGCCUGCGAAUUAUAAUAAAAUGACUCUUUAAAGUCAA
ensembl:lncRNA LINC01811 long intergenic non-protein coding RNA 1811